AUAGUUGUGUAUAUGUGGCAUCUAUAUAGAAAGAUGCAGGAAAAGAUGUUGCUGCAGGAUUUCAGAUUGGUGGAUCCAGUGCCUGUGGAGUAUGUACCAUCAAGAAAUCAGAAUAGAGAUUUCAUCCAAGAACAAUUGAAUAAAAGGGCUUCUUACUUAAGUAGUAGGCUAAUUGGUACCUCAACUGGUCAAUUGGUUGUUGUGCCAUGCAAUGUUGGUUUUCACUGGAUUUUGACUAUCAUCAAUGUUGAGAAGGAGAUUAUUUUUUUGUUGGAUCC